rnacentral:rRNA from 1 species
AUUUAGACAGCAGGACGGUGGCCAUGGAAGUUGGAAUCCGCUAAGGAGUGUGUAACAACUCACCUGCCGAAUGAACUAGCCCUGAAAAUGGAUGGCGCUUAAGCGUGUUACCCAUACCUCACCGUCAUGGUAGAAACCAUGCCAUGACGAGUAGGCAGGCGUGGAGGUCAGUGACGAAGCCUUUGGAGUGAUCCUGGGUUGAACGGCCUCUAGUGCAGAUCUUGGUGGUAGUAGCAAAUACUCAAAUGAGAACUUUGAGGACUGAAGUGGGGAAAGGUUCCGUGUGAACAGCAGUUGGACACGGGUUAGUCGAUCCUAAGAGAUAGGGAAACUCCGUUUUAAUGUAGGCGCUUGCGCCUCACCCUCGAAAGGGAAGCCGGUUAAUAUUCCGGCACCUGGAUGUGGAUUCUCCGCG